UACGUAGGGGCCGAGCGUUGUCCGGAGUUAUUGGGCGUAAAGCGCGCGCAGGCGGCUUGGCGCGCCCGACGUGAAAGCCCCCGGCUUAACCGGGGAGAGUCGUCGGGGACGGCCAGGCUUGAGGGCGGGAGAGGGUGGUGGAAUUCCCGGUGUAGUGGUGAAAUGCGUAGAGAUCGGGAGGAACACCUGUGGCGAAGGCGGCCACCUGGGCCGACCCUGACGCUGAGGCGCGAAGGCGUGGGGAGCGAACGGG
rnacentral:rRNA from 1 species